rnacentral:rRNA from 1 species
GACAGAGGGUGCAAACGUUGUUCGGAAUUACUGGGCGUAAAGCGUGCGCAGGCGGUUCGCUGUGUCCGAUGUGAAAGCCCCGGGCUCAACCUGGGAAUGGCAUGGGAAACUGGCGGGCUGGAGUGUGGCAGAGGGGGGUGGAAUUCCGCGUGUAGCAGUGAAAUGCGUAGAGAUGCGGAGGAACACCGAUGGCGAAGGCAGCCCCCUGGGCCAACACUGACGCUCAGGCACGAAAGCGUGGGGAGCAAACAGG